AUUGAACGCUGGCGGCAGGCCUAACACAUGCAAGUCGAGCGAGCGGCGGACGGGUGAGUAAUGUCUCGGAAACUGCCUGAUGGAGGGGGAUAACUACUGGAAACGGUAGCUAAUACCGCAUACCCUCAGAUGUGCCCCGAUGGGAUUAGCUAGUAGGUGGGGUAAUGGCUCACCUAGGCGACGAUCCCUAGCUGGUCUGAGAGGAUGACCAGCCACACGGGAACUGAGACACGGUCCAGACUCCUACGGGAGGCAGCAGUGGGGAAUAUUGAAAAAUGGGCGCAAGCCUGAUGCAGCCAUGCCGCGUGUGUGAAGAAGGCCUUCGGGUUGUAAAGCACUUUCAGCGGGGAGGCGUUACCCGCAGAAGAAGCACCGGCUAACUCCGUGCCAGCAGCCGCGGUAAUAC
rnacentral:rRNA from 1 species